rnacentral:rRNA from 1 species
UACGGAGGGUGCAAGCGUUAUCCGGAUUUACUGGGUUUAAAGGGUGCGUAGGUGGGUAGGUAAGUCAGUGGUGAAAUCUUCGAGCUUAACUCGGAAACUGCCAUUGAUACUAUUUAUCUUGAAUAUUGUGGAGGUGAGCGGAAUAUGUCAUGUAGCGGUGAAAUGCUUAGAUAUGACAUAGAACACCAAUUGCGAAGGCAGCUCGCUACACAUAUAUUGACUCUGAGGCACGAAAGCGUGGGGAUCAAACAGG